CCAGGAGUCACUCCAGGCUGUGGGCUGUUACCGCGGGGAGGAGCGGGAAUGGGGCAGGGUCGUGAAUGCUCCGGGCUUUCAAAUGAACGGAUCUGGCUCUUUGAUCUGUGAGGACGCACUGCCCGUCUGCAGCAGGAACCACUCCAGCAGUGAUUUGUGGGCCAGGCACCCCCUCAGCCUUUGGGCACAUGAGCAUUUAAACUCCACCACUGCAGGAUGAAACAGGUAAUCGCAUUAGCCCCCAAUUAUUAAUAAGGAAACUAGGACAGAGAAGCUAAGCAAUCUGCCCAAGAUCGUGUGACAAGUCAUUGUGGAGUCCAGACUGGCACCGGAGAGCUCAGUCCUGAGCCCACCAUCCCAAGCCUGCACCACUGUCGGUGAUGCCCUUGAGGCCCGGCCCCAGGCCCCCACAGCUGCUUUCCUCGCCCCAAGAGGAGUGCUUUCCUUCCUAUAUGUGCAACCUGCUCACCUGCAGGACUCAGACACCUGCCUGGGAGGAAGAUCACAUGUGCACACGCUCCUCUUCCAUAAUAAAUGCACUUUCUACGGUGGUGCAGUCAGGGAAUUGAGUGUAUUUGCUCCAAAUGCAUGCUUUGCUCAUAGAAGCAUCAAUUCUCCCUUUCUCUAUCAUUUGCUUCUGUUUUUACUGAAAAAUAAUAUAUGAGCAUAGUAAGCAUUUACGUAGCAUCAGAGUAAGCACUGAAAUAAGUCUGUGUUCCUACAACCCCUCCAGAGGCAUUUACUAGGAAGUUUUCUGUACCUAUAAAGGUGUGUGUGUUUACUUUUUGUUCCACAUAAAGAAUAAUUGUCAAAGUAUCCCUUCUGCACCUUUUCAGUUCGUGCAUCUUGAACCUAGUUCCAUUCGGACACCCACAGAGCUGGCUCACUCCCUAACGACAUCACGGUAUCCUGCUGCAAGGAUGGGCCAUAAUUUAUUUAACCACCCCCUAUGGGUGGGCAUUUAGAUUGUUUGCAACGAUGCUUUUACAGCAAUGACAGAAACAUCCUUGUUCACUUGUCUCUCAGGACGUAUGGGAGAAUAUAGAGUCACUUCCCAAGAGAUGAGAGCUUCUUCCCUUCUAUAAGCCGCCUGCAUGAAGUAACGCCUGAGUCUCUAGCCGGGGAGAGCACAGCGCUGUGACGAAGGGGCGCCAAGACUUGGACUCAAGUCCCAUCAACGGUGACCUUUGACCUGGGCACCUGCCACCCUCGGCCCGGCUGGGCCUCGGAAACCGGCGCGGGCGGCGGCCGGAAUCCAGAUGACCUCCCCGGCCGUUUACGAAUCCGGGGCUAAGAUUCCAAAUCAAAGACACCCACGGCGGCGGGACUCCAUGGCACAUUAAUCUAUGUUAAUUAACACGAAUAUAUAUAACUACACACAUUAAUAUAUAUUUAAACAAGUAGCAAAAUCUAUUUUUGUUAUUAACAAGGAAAAUCUUUGCUAAGCACCCCUCUCCCCAGCCAGCCAAGCUGCUUUCACGCCUCCUAUAUUAUCAGCCAGGAUCACAGGCCAUGCCUGAAGCAUGACUGGCCUGGAACCGGAAUGACUCACCUUCCGGCGGGAGGAGGGACCCGCUGUCCCCGUCUCAGGGCCCCGGGGCUCUCCUGGGGAGCAAGCAUGGAGGAAGGAAGGGCGGCUGGGGAGGCGGACAGCAGGGCCACACGCAUCGCUGAGUGGCAGUUGUUCGGGGUCGUCACACCCACAGGCAGGAUCAGAAAUACACGCCUGGGCGGCGACGUCCGUGCCCACACUAGCAUCAUUCAUCGACCAUGGCCUGACUUCAGUGAGUUAUGUACGCAACAUCACGUUACUUCUUUUUUGCACCAGAAUAAUAACUCCUCCCACCCCCAUUUGGCUUAAGUUGCCAACAUGACACCCCAUUAUCCCACAUGCCUGGGUGUCCUCCUCAACCACACUAGUCCACCCGAAGAGGAGGCUGUCACGACUCGUCCCUGCCUCCCGAGCUUGGGAGCUGCUCAGGCUUGCCUGCUGUCCCGGCAACGGCCCUGGCGGCUGCGGGGCUGGUUCAGGUCGCUCCUCGGCCCGAGGGCUCCCUCUUGCUCCCGAUUCCUACGGCCUGGGAGCCUUCUCAGGGCACAGGCCACUUACUUUAGAGUGUCUCUCAGUUUGGUUUGUCAGCUGCUUCCUCAUGACCAGAUUUAGGUCAUGCACGCAGGGCAGGGCUGUCACAGAGAUAAUUGUGUCAGGGAAAUGUGAUAUGUGGGAGAAUGUGCCUCCGUGUGGACAUGCUUCUUCAGAGCAGCAGACACCCAGUAAGUAUAUGUUGACUUCCUUCUGGGAGGAUGAACACACGUUGUGGUUGUCCCCCAGAAGCCAUUAAUUCGUCACACUAACUAGGACGUCCUUAGACCCUGGGGCUGGGCCCAGGGGCAGGCAGUUGGAGAACAGAAGGAAGGGCCUGGGCGACCCCCAUGUGGGAGGAGGACAUUGCCCUGGGCUCUUGCCCCAGACUUCUGUUUCUAAUCACUGCUCUCAAACCCUUAGAAUUCCUAAACCUACAAUUUUCUGUGUCAAACCCAGAAACCCUGCUUUCCUUAUGGUGCAAAGCCCCAAAACCAUCGGUGUGAAAAGUUUCCAUUUACCCAGAGCAGCUCGUGGGUUAUGGGGGAGAGGCUGUGAGUGACGGGUAUGAAUACUAAGCAGAUGGGGUUACAAAUUAUAUUAGCUUUUCCCUUGAACUUCAUCAAAGUGAGUUUUAUGUAUGUCUUGUCCUCUGGGUAAAAGAACUUCAUGUCAUCUAAAAUCCGAAUGUGAAAAUACCUUCUGUAAGAAGAGACUUUUGUAGUGUUUCUUUUCCCCCAAUGAGGAAAAACUGGAUAGAGCCACAAAGACUUCAAAGGAUGUGAAAUCACUGGGCAGGAGGCCCAGCCAGAGUCCCCACCAGGAGGAGUCCCAAGCUCUUCCUCUUUAGGGAGCACAGGUUCCCAGAUAAUUCAGCCCAAGAAUGCUUCAACUAGAGGCAUGCGCUUUGGCUUAAUGUGAAGAGACCCAAAGAGUAUGGACACGACUGCAGUGCGGUGGACAGAGAGAGGUUUCCUUUCGGCGCACGUUCACCCAGACGGUAACAGAAGCCACAGCGAAGAUGGGAAUUUUGUUUUUUACUUCCGGGUUAAAAUAAUUCUUGCCAAAAUGUCUCUUCAUUGGUGUGAGACUGUCCAGCCCAUCAGAACGGUGCUGCUUGCCAAAGAUUUCUCAUGUGGGGAUCACUGUUUUUUUAGAGAGGUAAGAAUAUUUGUUUAUCUCCAUUUCCAUUCUUCAGGAACUUUCCUGUCAUGCAGGAUUCAACACAGUUUACCCAGGCCUCACUUCCUCUUCUUGGGUUCAAAAAAAGGAUGAGUUCGGUCCAAGGUUUCCCAUAUUUUACAAUGCAGGCAUCUAGUGCUGGUCAGGAUUUGGGGAGGGAGUGCAUUUAAAAGACUGGGAGAAGAAUAAGAGGAGGGGCCCCACCUAGGGCUGUGCCCAGCCAGAUGAGCCAGGGCGCGACUGCCCGAAAGCUGGCAGCUCUCAGCCUGCACGACACGAAGACAGGGAGCUCGGUCAGCUCUCAGCUGACAGGCCCUCCUGUCUCCGGACACCCCGGCAGCGGCUCCUGGAAUGUGCACUUCAUGGACAAGCGCAAUUAGAAAUAAGAGGAAUAUGGAGAUACAGAGAAGACAAAGUCUUAGAAUAAAGGUCAGUCCUUAAACUGGCAUAAUUUAAAAUAUAUGAGAAAAACACAUGAUAAUGUCCUUAUUUUUCUUAUUUUUUUCCUGGCCCAUGAAAGUCCAAUCCUGGGUCAGCACUAGUAGGACCCACAUAGAUGUUUUGAGAACCACUGUCCCUACUCCACAGAGUGACCUGUGGUGUUUCAAUCUGCAAAUCCACUCCAGAUAUUUAAACAGCACCUAUUUGGGGUACAAAAGCGAAUGGAAACACUUUUGAAAAAAAAAGUACGUUUUUUGUAUUUAAGCUGAUAGCUUUAACCUCUGCUUGCUGAUAAGGCCAGAAAGGUGGAGUGUGAAGAAGAGUAUGAACAUCUGGGAGUUAUGCGUGUGUAGCCAAGAACCCUAACUCAGGCAAAUGACUUCCAUCCUUAACAGCAGGCUCCCAGAGUCCAGACCGCAUUUCUCUCUCAUCAGGACGGGAAAUAUGCAAACUGUUUUCCCAUUAAGGAGAAACUCACUGUAUUCUGCCCUUAUUGCCCAACAUGCUAGACGGGAGCAGGGUCGGGAUUGACUGGGGGACAAGGGUCUGCAUGGGCGAGCUGUGUGUGCUGCUGUCACCCUCGUGGCAGCUGAGCUAAGGCUGCAGGGACGGGCACAGGACACUGCGCACGAGGACAGCGCAUUGGCCAGUGCUUCCCUUCUCCGACUUGCCGUGAGAUGGACUCGCCCGACCAAAUUCCUCUCUGUAGAAAACAGUGUUAUGAGAGUCCAGCAAAGAGCUCAUGAAUUCACAACGUUUUUAGCCCCCCUCCCAGAGGUGGGAGAAUUGGAAGGUAGUCAUUUUCACAAUACUGUUUUCAGAACUCAAAACUAAAAUAUUCCAUAAUGACAAACCGUCCACACACCCUUCUAAAAUGAUGUUAAAGAGAACACUUCUUUCUAAAAGCAUCUGGGUUCUGAAGAGAAAGGGUGGGUUGAGAGUGCCCUGUUCUCUGAAAGGGUUUCGGAGUUCUGCUCAAUUGCCGGUGGUGGUUGGGCAUCGUUAGGCAGUGUGGUCACCCAGCUCCAGAAAGGGCGUGUUUGGAAUGACCCGUGUCUGCAGAGGGCUCUUCGGCUUCAGUGGUGAGAGAUGCUCUGGGCAGAGAAGGCGCCCUCGGAGGCCCCUCGGGCGAAAGUGAAUCAUUUUACCUUAGAGAGAAGCUGUGUGAUAGGAGUUCGAGAGCCUGCAUUUCCUUUACUGAAUUUCUCUUUAAAAAUAUUCUGGAAGAUCUUCAGAUUAUCCAAUUAUUUGCUAAAAUCAAAUUGAGCUUUAGGAGGAUUUCCUUAGAUGAAACCUUAUCCCUGUUGUCUGCUCAGCGAGUUGGUCUGCAGGGGGGCCUGGCACAGGGCUACUGUCCCCAAAAUACUGCUCAACUAGAACGUGUGUCGCAGAUGACAGUGUGGUCUUGGGUUAGCUGAGACU